GGAAGGAAGUUUUAGCUUUUUUCCAUUACUUCUUUUUCUGACAUUAAUAGGUCCAUUUUUUUCUGAUAUUCUAGUUUCUCCCUAGACACCUCAUCCAGUUAUUUUACUGGCUAAUAGUAAAUUCUUAUUCCAGGGCAGACACUAGCUUACUCUCUAUAGAAAGUUAAUCAAGUGCCUCAUCAAGCCUUAAUUAGACUGGAUUCAUACUCCAAAAUUCCAGGAACAAAGAGCACCCAAGGGUACGUGGCAGCUGCCUAAAAUGCAAUGAGGGGCACUGAAAUAGCCCUAAUGGCAGUGAAUAUGAUGCUCAGGAGAGGUAAAAGUCACUUUCUAUGGGUGUUGUGAUUUUAUUAGUAUAAAAAACUCCCACAAAUGCAGAUUUGCAACAGUUCUACAACUUAAAGUCUUUAGAUAGUUGCCUAGUGUACUAAGAUGUUAAGAAAAUUGCCCAGAGUCACAGAACCAGAAAUUUGCCCAGAGUCACAGAACCAGGAGAGGUCAGAGGCAGGAUUCAACUCAAGGUUUUUCUGAUUUUGCAGGCAGUUUUUUAUCCUUUAUGCUUAAAGCAAUUAUGACUCAUAAAUACCCUAUUCAUUGUACCUUGGAGGAAUAGAAGGCAACUGGAGACUCAUUGGUUCAACUCUUAUUUUACAGAUAAAGAAAUCAAGAGAAACCUGGAACAGUUAAGUAACUUUGCUAAAGUCACAUAGCUGGAAGGAGUGACUGAAGAAUCAGAAGAAGAAGCUUCUUGAACAAGAAAGAUGGUAGUAAACUUUUGAAGCCACAGGCCAGUACCAGAAGCCAGAAGAUGGCAAAAGAAGGGUGACACAAGGAUAUGAGUCAUUCAAAAAAGGAAUAUUCUGCUUGGACAGAAGUUUGCAGUUUUCCUAAAUGUUUCUGUCUCUAGAACUUGGUGAAUGUCUGUCUUAUUAUUGCUUGGUGUACUGGCAUCAUUUAUUUGCAGAAGUUUCUUGUUCUCUCUAAACUUUAUUUGUUGUAUGUUCUUACGUAAUAGGUCUUGUCUCCAGAUAAAAAUAAACUGAUCUUUACUGCAU